CUUUACAGAGAGUAGGCUACUGAGACAGACAGUGAUUUGGCGGUCAGUGGUGAGGCUAAAGCAGCCUGCAAUGCAUGCAGAAGGAAACAGAGGAGACAGAGAGAGAGAGAGAGAGGAAGCAAUCAGAGAGAGACCUAUCCUCUACCUCCACCCCCACCUCCCACGAUGAGCCCAGGAUAUCCAGGGGAUCCAGUUGGUCCUCUAACACAGCCGUGCCAAGAAGUUUUACUGAGGGAAAAUCAGCAUCAGGCCGUCCCCCCAGUUGCGGCUGAGAUUCCUCAAUGCAAUGAGGUGAUGGGCCUGGAGUUGGGCCUGGAGCCACCCAAGGUAGAGGUCUCCCUGAAUCAGAGGGAGCAGCUGAGUCAUCAGGGGAGCGGUGGCUUGGUGUGCCUCCCAGCAGCGUGGGCCCAGGCAGAACCCAAGCUCUCUAUGGAGGCUCCAGUAGCGGCACCGUUACAGCCAAUGUACUCAGUGAGGAGGCUCCCAAAGACCUAUCUUCCUCCACCACCACCCUCCAUGAGGCCCGGAUGGCCAGGGGAUCCCUGUGGUCCUCAACCUGUUCCAACAACCUGCGCACAUGGAAGAUACCCACGGAGCAGAUACGUGGAUGUCCUGAGCCAGGAAUGGAAGAACAGCCCGUGACUAAAUGUCCUGCGGCCCCCAACUGCCCCGCUCAACACCCCGUGGACCUGCUGCUGAGCCUCUCAUUGUGAAGGCCAAGACCAGCGGAGAGGGCUGGCUUGGCUUUUGCCGUAAGAAGGAGGCACUCCUGCCAGAGGAUUCCUCAAAUCUGUGGUUGGAUAUGAGCGUACCACAGGAGGAGAGCAAACCUCUACCACGUCUCUCACCAAUUGGGAUGUACCCCCCUCCACCAAUGGGGAACACAGGCUAUCUGGGGGACUCUGGCAGUCUUCCCAAGGGUAUAAAUAUUCUAGCAGCAGGUCUGUGGGAUGACCCUAACCCCCAGAUGAACCCGGAUGGGAACAUAACUGAGGCCCUCAGCCAGAGUGGCAAACCCGGACCACAGCUGUUCGUGACAGACAUGUAGGCUCUGAUGGCACCGAUGGAAGUCCCACCUGAUGAUUCAGAGGAUUCAGCAUGGUGGAAUGGGAACCUUGCCUAAAAUGCCAUGCCCAAAUGCCACCCUAAUUCAAGAAUGAUCUAUCAGCUACCAAGCAUGAGAACCAAAAUGGCAGUUUUAAUAAAAAGUAGUAGUAUUUAUAGCCUCUGGAUUUGCCGUAAAUUGUUGUGGGAUAAUUAGGAGUACAGCGAUACCUUCCAUCCCUGGAUUGGAGUACGAAGUUCACAGAGGUGCAAACAUAUUGGCAUAUGGUCAUUUCAACUAGGAGAGCCUUUAUUCUAGUGUUCUUCCACUAGAGGACACCAUCCACUUUGGAAAACCACCUUGAACUCAAUGCGAUUGGUGUGAGGCAUAGAGAUGGAUAGAGGGCGCACUUUCCACAAAGAUAGGGUGUGUGCUCUCUUUCGCGCUCUGUCUCACACUCAUUGUAAUGGAGAUAAUCAAACACUGGAUGUCAGUGUGGUAACACCGUGGUACACUAAAAUCCUUAUCUGAAUCAGAGAAUGUAUUAGUCACUAAGACCAACACCAGUGAUUUAUGGUAUUGUAAACAUGCCAGAAUGAAAGCACACUAUAGAAAAGUAGCUAGUUUGUCAAAGUCCCACUGGUCAGGUAAGCGCACUAGACUUUUACAAAAGCAUUCAAAGUUUGAAUUGAGUCGUACCUUCACUUGCAGUGCCAACUUGAUUGGAAAAUGUGCCUCACAGCUCACAUUCCUUUCUGAUAGUUACUGUAGCAGUGUUAUUCAAUACUGUCGCUACAUCACUGUUAGGUAACUUGCUAUAUAGGCCUACCAUUAUUUGUACCACAUUUGGUUGAACCAAACAAAUAUCAAUGUUUAUCUUGUGACAAGUAUGUUGCAUUGUGUACACUGUGCGGUUCCCUGUGGGGAAUGCCUGUUUAUGGGCAUAUGAAGGCAAAUGACUUUCCACUAACUAUAACAGACAUAUUAAUGAAGAACAAAUCAAGACUCAUGUAUACUUAUCAUCUUCCACUUUGUUACAUGCUUAUCUAUAUGUCACACCUGUUUACAAUUUACAGUAUUAGUCCAGAUGAGAUGGACAUUUGUCUUCUGCUUUUUUCCCCAUCCCCUCCGGUACACACACACACACACACACACACACACACACACACACACACACACACACACACACACACACACACACACACACACACACACACACACACACACACACACACACACACACACACACAUUAGGUUGGAGAGCCUGGAGCAGAGGGCAUCCACAGUGCAGUGCCCAAUGAGCAGUUUAGGGGGUUAAGUUCCUUGGUCAAGGGAACAUUACAUGUUAAUGCAACAACAGAAUGAAGACUAAAUAUCCUGGAUGGCUUUGCUUUUUGAUUAUCUCGCCACCAAGAGAGAUACAUUAUCUUAUUUUAUUAAGGAUGUCAUAAUGUGUCUUCCUUCCACUAUUUGUACAGCAGCUGUGUAUAAUCAUGGCGGUUAGCUAAAUGAUGGUACGCUGUGAUUGUUUUGUCUUUCUUGACCCCACGUAUUUCUCACAGCAGUGUAGUAGCUACUGUCAGUAGCAUAUAGCUGAUAAGAACAGGCUGUGGUUGACACUGAGAACCAGUCUGACUGUUGCCUAAGUCAACUGGCUGGCCCCUUACCAGCCUCCAUUCCUGAUGUGUUGUCAACUUUCUCCACUGCAACAACACCCCUUCAUAAUAGUUGUGAAACAAACUGCUCCCUUGUCAUGGCAGUUAUUGCGGCACAUUUUCUAUGGUCGUAUGAUGAAUCACGCUAUGAUAAACGAGGAGAGAGAUGUGGUGUGAUGUCAGUGGCCGUCUAUCUCAAUGACACAACAGGGAUGCUAGCACUGGCACAUUUAUGAUAGUGUUUGAUCCCAUGGCACUGUGUGCAGACUCAAGUCAGAGCCGCGCUGUUGAAAUUCACAUCCAGCUAGUGCUUGGCUAUCUUGCAUUGCCCUUGGAGAUACCCCAGUUACACUGAGACCUGCAUUCCAGUCUCAGUUGUUUUGACUUUCACAGAUAGUUAUUGAUGCCAAUCAUGCCAUGCUGUGUCUGAAACUCUGGGCAGAGGUCAAGGGUUUUCUCCUCUCCUUGUCUAUUCAGCAAAGUUAGAAUACGCUAACAUGAGGGCUAUGAGUAGAAUUCGUCACCUAUGAGAAAUGUUCCUUCUCUCACCUCACACAAGUCCCAAGCCAGAUACAUUUCUACAGACUUUUUGGGAUGAGGAGGAGAAUGUGUUCACUUUUGAUACUAAUCUGAACUUUGUACUGUACUGUAACAAGAAAGCACAAUUUCUUCUAGGGAUGUUUCAAACAAGUGUGUUUCAUGAUUGCUCUCAUAUUUAUGAUCAAAGUAUCAUGAGCAGAAAUUCCACUGCGCACAAACUGGUUGA